AGGGUUUGAUUAUGGCUCAGGAUGAACGCUGGCGGCGUGCUUAACACAUGCAAGUCGAACGAAGCACUUCAUAAAGUUUACUUUAAGAAGUGACUUAGUGGCGGACGGGUGAGUAACGCGUGGGUAACCUGCCUUACACAGGGGGAUAACAGUUAGAAAUGACUGCUAAUACCGCAUAAAACAGCAGAGUCGCAUGACUCAACUGUCAAAGAUUUAUCGGUGUAAGAUGGACCCGCGUCUGAUUAGCUUGUUGGUGGGGUAACGGCCUACCAAGGCAACGAUCAGUAGCCGGCCUGAGAGGGUGAACGGCCACAUUGGGACUGAGACACGGCCCAA
rnacentral:rRNA from 1 species